rnacentral:rRNA from 1 species
UACAGAGGUCUCGAGCGUUAAUCGGAGUCACUGGGCUUAAAGGGUGCGUAGGCGGGCCUGUAAGUGCCUUGUGAAAUCCCACGGCUCAACCGUGGAAUGGCUCGGCAUACUGCGGGUCUUGAGGUCGGUAGGGGUCGCUGGAACUCUAGGUGGAGCGGUGAAAUGCGUAGAUAUCUAGAGGAACGCCAAAGGUGAAGACAGGCGACUGGGCCGAUUCUGACGCUGAGGCACGAAAGCGUGGGGAG